GCCGCACUGUAGCAUAGUGGUAAGGAGUAGGGCUUGUACCCAAAAGGUUGCUGGUUCAAUUCCUUACUGGGGCU